UUGAGCGGAGAUAUAUGGAGCUUGCUUUAUAUAACUUAGCAGCGAACGGGUGAGUAACACGUAGAUAAUCUAUCCUAUACUGGGGGAUAGCCCGAUGAAAGUUGGAUUAAUACCGCAUAUAGCUAUAUAGUUGCAUGAUUAUGUAGUGAAAGAUUUAUUGGUAUAGGAGGAGUCUGCGGCACAUUAGCUAGUAGGUGAGGUAAAGGCUUACCUAGGCGACGAUGUGUAGCCGGUCUGAGAGGAUGAACGGCCACAAUGGAACUGAGACACGGUCCAUACUCCUACGGGAGGCAGCAGUGGGGAAUAUUGCACAAUGGGGGAAACCCUGAUGCAGCAACGCCGCGUGAGUGAAGAAGGUUUUCGGAUUGUAAAGCUCUGUUAGCAGGGAAGAGGAAGGACGGUACCUGCAGAGGAAGCCACGGCUAACUACGUGCCAGCAGCCGCGGUAAUACGUAGGUGGCAAGCGUUGUUCGGAAUAACUGGGCGUAAAGGAUGCGUAGGCGGUUAAACAAGUUAUAUGUUAAAUAUAUAGGCUUAACCUGUAGAAAGCAUAUAAAACUGUUUAACUAGAGUGCAGGAGAGGUAAGUGGAAUUCCUAGUGUAGCGGUGAAAUGCGUAGAGAUUAGGAAGAACACCAGUGGCGAAGGCGACUUACUGGACUGUAACUGACGCUGAGGCAUGAGAGCAUGGGGAGCAAACAGGAUUAGAUACCCUGGUAGUCCAUGCUGUAAACGAUGGGUACUAGGUGUGGGUUGUG
rnacentral:rRNA from 1 species